rnacentral:rRNA from 1 species
AUGAACGCUGGCGGCGUGCCUAAUACCUGCAAGUCGAGCGAACGGACGAGAAGCUUGCUUUUCUGAUGUUAGCGGCGGACGGGUGAGUAACACGUGGAUAACCUACCUAUAAGACUGGGAUAACUUCGGGAAACCGGAGCUAAUACCGGAUAAUAUUUUGAACCGCAUGGUUCAAAAGUGAAAGACGGUCUUGCUGUCACUUAUAGAUGGAUCCGCGCUGCAUUAGCUAGUUGGUAAGGUAACGGCUUACCAAGGCAACGAUGCAUAGCCGACCUGAGAGGGUGGUCGGCCACACUGGAACUGAGACACGGUCCAGACUCCUACGGGAGGCAGCAGUAGGGAAUCUUCCGCAAUGGGCGAAAGCCUGACGGAGCAACGCCGCGUGAGUGAUGAAGGUCUUCGGAUCGUAAAACUCUGUUAUUAGGGAAGAACAUAUGUGUAAGUAACUGUGCACAUCUUGACGGUACCUAAUCAGAAAGCCACGGCUAACUACGUG